CGGGAGGAAAAGCGGACACGGGGUCCUCCUUCAGCUUCUCUAGAGGAAUGAGAAUACUAUGGCUCUAUCCAGGUUAAGUUCAGACUUGAAGUUUACAAAUGGCAGUCUCGAAGCAGGCACAAGUUUCAUUCUCCUAAACAAGGAAAUCAAAUGAUGGGGAGCUCUGGCAGAAUGUUCUGGCCUGUGUGCAAUGACUCCAUUCUCUCUGCCAAGGGAUAAAGCU